UAGGGAGGUUCGAGUCCCCCGUUAUUAAGGGAUUUGGUUGUGAGUUAUUGGGGUUAACAUGGUUAACCGGUAAGAUUGGGUCAUAGCCAAAUGAGUGUACAACAAGUAUGCAUUAUGAGUUAUGGAUUUGGUAUCCCAGUUGAGAGGAUCUAGGGCUGAGGUGUAUGUGAGACGUCCAUCGCCUCGAGCCUGGUUCUAGUGCGGUACUCCGCAGACGAUUGACUCAAGACCGAGUCGGGUGGUUAGCCUUGUAAAGGUAGAUGGAACUUUAUGAUUAAAACGGUGAUUGACAAGAAUCUAUGAUAAAGGAAACCUUAGAUAUCAAACGGAUGAGCUAUGGUUAGCAGAAUUGAAAGUAGUGUCGAAUGAACUACUAGUUGGUUGCAUAGUUGCAUUAUUGCAUGAUUUGCAUAUAGUAUUGCAUUAUUGCAUUCGUGAGGCAAUGCAUGGUUUUAUUCGUUGCAUAAUCAAGAUAUAUAUAUCUAUCUGUUUAUUGAACUAACUUGUAGUUGCCUCCCUUGGACCUAUUGGUCGAACUUUUCCCUUGGGUGGCCGUACCCACUGGGAACCAUGGAGUUGGUUCUCACCCCACGUGGUUUUGGGGUGUUACAGGUUCGCACGUGAGCGGCGCGGCGGCGCGAGGCGAAGGCGUAGCAUCAUAGUUAGCGCCCUACCACCGAGACCAGAGGUAGCGGUACCCUGAGUCGGCCUUACUUAGGGAUGCAAGAAAAUGAAAAGGAUCAAGUUGUAAUAAUAUUGAUAAAGCUAGAUUNAGUUGGUUCUCACCCCACGUGGUUUUGGGGUGUUACAGGUUCGCACGUGAGCGGCGCGGCGGCGCGAGGCGAAGGCGUAGCAUCAUAGUUAGCGCCCUACCACCGAGACCAGAGGUAGCGGUACCCUGAGUCGGCCUUACUUAGGGAUGCAAGAAAAUGAAAAGGAUCAAGUUGUAAUAAUAUUGAUAAAGCUAG
rnacentral:lncRNA from 1 species